rnacentral:rRNA from 1 species
CAGUCGUACCGGCGGAUAAUCAGCCUUUCGGGUGCGAUUCUGUGGGGCGUGAAGAGUUAAACGCCUUCAUGCCUGCAUAUUCGCGUACUUUUGGGUGUACUUGCCGGUGUGGUUAGUUAACAUCAAUUUUGGUUAUCAUAAAAUGGUUGGAGGAAUGUAGCUUCGAUCUCGUAUUGAAGUGUUAUAGCCUUCGGCAGAUGUGAUGAUCGAGAUUGAGG